rnacentral:rRNA from 1 species
UUCUAUAAGCAAUAAUUUAUAGUAAAACCUGCUCAAUGUAAAUAUUAAUAGCCGCAGACAACUGUGCUAAGGUAGCAUAAUCACUUGCUUCUUAAAUAGAAGAUAGAAUGAAGGGUUAAACUCUUAAAAUUUGUCUCUUUAAAUUCAAACUAACUUAAGAAUAAAGUAAAAACUCUUUAAUAACAUAAGUAGGACGAUAAGACCCCGAUAAACUAACCUUUUAGUUGGGGAAACAAAAUAACCAUAAUUUAUUAAAUAAUUCCACAUAACUAUAAAAUUAAACAUAGCCCAGUUACUACGGGGAUAACAGCGCUAUUUCUUUUUAGAGACCUAAUCAAAAAAGAAGUUUACGACCUCGAUGUUGAAUUUAGGUACCCCAAUAUAAAGCAAAAAUUUAUUAGGGUGGUCUGUUCGACCAAUAACCACCU